rnacentral:rRNA from 1 species
GCAGGGCGCAGCUACACAUGCAGUCGGACGGUAGCACAGAGGAGCUUGCUCCUCGGGUGACGAGUGGCGGACGGGUGAGUAAUGUCUGGGAAACUGCCCGAUGGAGGGGGAUAACUACUGGAAACGGUAGCUAAUACCGCAUAACGUCGCAAGACCAAAGUGGGGGACCUUCGGGCCUCACACCAUCGGAUGUGCCCAGAUGGGAUUAGCUUGUAGGCGGGGUAACGGCCCACCUAGGCGACGAUCCCUAGCUGGUCUGAGAGGAUGACCAGCCACACGCAACUGAGACACGGCCAGAACCACGGCAGGCAACAGUCGAGAAAGCACAAUGAACGCAACCCCACGAACACAUGCAGCGCAUAGCAACAAGACCAUCCGGUUAGAAAGCACAGUCAGCACGCAGGAAGGUGUUGAGGUGAAAAACUCAGCAAUUGACGUUACCCACAGAAGAAGCACCCGCUAACUCCGUGCCAGCAGCAGCGCGAAUACCGAGAGUGCAAGCGUUAAUCGAAACUACUGGGCGUAAAGCGCACGCAGGCCGUCUGUUAAGUCAGAUGUGAAAUCCCCGGCCUUAAACCGGGAACUGCAUUUGAAAACGGCAGGCUUGAGUCUCGUAGAGGGGGGAAAAAUUCCAAGUGUAGCGGUGAAAUGCGUAGAGAUCUGGAGGAAUACCGGUGGCGAAGGCGGCCCCCUGGACGAAGACUGACGCUCAGGUGCGAAAGCGUGGGGAGCAAACAGGAUUAGAUACCCUGGUAGUCCACGCCGUAAACGAUGUCGACUUGGAGGUUGUUCCCUUGAGGAGUGGCUUCCGGAGCUAACGCGUUAAGUCGACCGCCUGGGGAGUACGGCCGCAAGGUUAAAACUCAAAUGAAUUGACGGGGGCCCGCACAAGCGGUGGAGCAUGUGGUUUAAUUCGAUGCAACGCGAAGAACCUUACCUACUCUUGACAUCCAGCGAACUUGGCAGAGAUGCCUUGGUGCCUUCGGGAACGCUGAGACAGGUGCUGCAUGGCUGUCGUCAGCUCGUGUUGUGAAAUGUUGAGUUAAGUCCCGCAACGAGCGCAACCCUUAUCCUUUGUUGCCAGCGAUUCGGUCGGGAACUCAAAGGAGACUGCCGGUGAUAAACCGGAGAAAGGUGGGGAUGACGUCAAGUCAUCAUCACCCUACGAGUAGGGCUAAACAACUGCUACAAGCGCACAUACAAAGAGAAGCCAAACCGCGAGAGCAAGCGAACCCAUAAAGCGCGCGUAGCCGGAUCGGAGCCUGCAACUCGAACCCCUCAAGGCAAAAUCGCUAGUAAUCGUGGAUCAGAAUGCCACGGUGAAUACGUUCCCGGGCCUUGUACACACCGCCCGUCACACCAUGGGAGUGGGUUGCAAAAGAAGUAGGUAGCUUAACCUCCGGGAGGGCGCUACCACUUGAUCGUUGC